GACGAACGCUGGCGGCGUGCCUAAUACAUGCAAGUCGAGCGGAGCGGCGAACGGGUGAGUAACGCGUGAGUAACUGCCCCCCUCUCUGGGAUAACAGUUGGAAACGGCUGCUAAUACCGGAAAGUGGGGGAUGACUCGCGUCCUAUCAGCUUGUUGGUGGGGUAGGGGCCUACCAAGGCAAAGACGGGUAGCCGGCCUGAGAGGGCGACCGGCCACAUUGGGCGGAGAUACGGGCCAAACUCUUACGGGAGGCAGCAGUGGGGAAUAUUGCACAAUGGGGGAAACCCUGAUGCAGCACCGCCGCGUGCGGGAGGACGGCCUUCGGGUUGUAAACCGCUUUCAGCCAUGACGCGGUAGUGGCAGGAGAAGCACCGGCUAACUACGUGCCAGCAGCAGCGGUAAUUC
rnacentral:rRNA from 1 species